GAUGAACGCUGGCGGCGUGCCUAAUACAUGCAAGUCGAGCGAACGGACGAGAAGCUUGCUUCUCUGAUGUUAGCGGCGGACGGGUGAGUAACACGUGGAUAACCUACCUAUAAGACUGGGAUAACUUCGGGAAACCGUAGCUAAUACCGGAUAAUAUUUUGAACCGCAUGGUUCAAAAGUGAAAGACGGUCUUGCUGUCACUUAUAGAUGGAUCCGCGCUGCAUUAGCUAGUUGGUAAGGUAACGGCUCACCAAGGCAACGAUGCAUAGCCGACCUGAGAGGGUGAUCGGCCACACUGGAACUGAGACACGGUCCAGACUCCUACGGGAGGCAGCAGUAGGGAAUCUUCCGCAAUGGGCGAAAGCCUGACGGAGCAACGCCGCGUGGGUGAUGAAGGUCUUCGGAUCGUAAAACUCUGUUAUUAGGGAAGAACAUAUGUGUAAGUAACUGUGCACAUCUUGACGGUACCUAAUCAGAAAGCCACGGCUAACUACGUG
rnacentral:rRNA from 1 species